rnacentral:lncRNA from 1 species
AAAAUUAUAACAAAAAAAAGAAAAAAGAGAAAAAGGUAUAGAUUCUAGGUUGGCACCAAAAUUGUUGUCCAUAUCGUAGUAAUAGCCUGCAUUUCUGCAACUCGAUUCUAUCCUCAGCUCUCCACCCGUAGUAAUUAUUGAGAAAAAUACAAGUAGUUGUAGAUGCUCUUAGUAGGAAAUCGAGAUAAUCUUGGAACCAUUCACCAACC